rnacentral:rRNA from 1 species
UACGAAGGGAGCUAGCGUUGUUCGGAAUCACUGGGCGUAAAGCGCACGUAGGCGGCUAUUCAAGUCGGGGGUGAAAGCCCGGGGCUCAACCCCGGAACUGCCCUCGAAACUAGAUAGCUAGAAUCUUGGAGAGGUCAGUGGAAUUCCGAGUGUAGAGGUGAAAUUCGUAGAUAUUCGGAAGAACACCAGUGGCGAAGGCGACUGACUGGACAAGUAUUGACGCUGAGGUGCGAAAGCGUGGGGAGCAAACAGG